rnacentral:snoRNA from 1 species
UUGGCCCUGAAUCAAGGCCAGCAGUUUGCUGAAGUGGUUGGCUUCAGGCUGGAGUUUAAAGAAUUGUCUUUCUUUGGCCAUUUCAGAACUUUGGAAAUGUAAUGAUCAAUUUGUUAAAAAGAAACACCU